UACGGGGGGGGCAAGCGUUGUUCGGAAUUACUGGGCGUAAAGGGCGCGUAGGCGGCCACCGCAAGUCAGUUGUGAAAUCUCUGGGCUUAACCCAGAAAGGUCAACUGAUACUGCGGGGCUAGAGUGCAGAAGGGGCAACUGGAAUUCUCGGUGUAGCGGUGAAAUGCGUAGAUAUCGAGAGGAACACCUGCGGCGAAGGCGGGUUGCUGGGCUGACACUGACGCUGAGGCGCGAAAGCUAGGGGAGCGAACGGG
rnacentral:rRNA from 1 species